AUCAAAGGUGAGCCAGUACAGGAUGGACCCGCGUCUGAUUAGCUAGUUGGUAAGGUAACGGCUUACCAAGGCGACGAUCAGUAGCCGACCUGAGAGGGUGAUCGGCCACAUUGGAACUGAGACACGGUCCAAACUCCUACGGGAGGCAGCAGUGGGGAAUAUUGCACAAUGGGCGAAAGCCUGAUGCAGCAACGCCGCGUGAGUGAUGAAGGCCUUCGGGUCGUAAAACUCUGUCCUCAAGGAAGAUAAUGACGGUACUUGAGGAGGAAGCCCCGGCUAACUACGUGCCAGCAGCCGCGGUAAUACGUAGGGGGCUAGCGUUAUCCGGAUUUACUGGGCGUAAAGGGUGCGUAGGCGGUCUUUCAAGUCAGGAGUGAAAGGCUACGGCUCAACCGUAGUAAGCUCUUGAAACUGGGAGACUUGAGUGCAGGAGAGGAGAGUGGAAUUCCUAGUGUAGCGGUGAAAUGCGUAGAUAUUAGGAGGAACACCAGUUGCGAAGGCGGCUCUCUGGACUGUAACUGACGCUGAGGCACGAAAGCGUGGGGAGCAAACAGGAUUAGAUACCCUGGUAGUCCACGCUGUAAACGAUGAGUACUAGGUGUCGGGGGUUACCCCCCUCGGUGCCGCAGCUAACGCAUUAAGUACUCCGCCUGGGAAGUACGCUCGCAAGAGUGAAACGCAAAGGAAUUGACGGGGACCCGCACAAGUAGCGGAGCAUGUGGUUUAAUUCGAAGCAACGCGAAGAACCUUACCUAAGCUUGACAUCCCAAUGACAUCUCCUUAAUCGG
rnacentral:rRNA from 1 species